rnacentral:rRNA from 1 species
UACGGAGGAUCCGAUCGUUAUCCGGAUUUAUUGGGUUUAAAGGGUGCGUAGGCGGCCUUGUAAGUCAGGGGUGAAAGACGGUAGCUUAACUAUCGCAGUGCCUUUGAUACUGCAGGGCUUGAAUGUACUUGAGGUAGGCGGAAUGUGACAAGUAGCGGUGAAAUGCAUAGAUAUGUCACAGAACACCAAUUGCGAAGGCAGCUUACUAUGGUAUGAUUGACGCUGAGGCACGAAAGCGUGGGGAUCAAACAGG